rnacentral:rRNA from 1 species
AGCUCCAAUAGCGUAUAUUAAAGUUGUUGCAGUUAAAAAGCUCGUAGUUGGAUUUCUGGUUGGAAGCAAUCGGUGUGGCACUCUGGUGCUACAACCUGCAUUGUAUCUGACCAUCCUUGGGGAUAAUUUAUCUGGCAUUAAGUUGUCGGGUAAAGGACACCCAUCGUUUACUGUGAAAAAAUUAGAGUGUUCAAAGCAGGCUUACGCCGUUGAAUAUAUUAGCAUGGAAUAAUGAUAUAGGACCUAGGUACUAUUUUGUUGGUUUGUGCAUCAAGGUAAUGAUCAAUAGGGAUAGUCGGGGGUAUUCGUAUUCCACUGUCAGAGGUGAAAUUCUUGGAUUUUUGGAAGACGAACUACUGCGAAAGCAUUUACCAAGGAUGUUUUCAUUA